rnacentral:rRNA from 1 species
UACGUAGGGGGCAAGCGUUGUCCGGAAUCAUUGGGCGUAAAGCGCGUGUAGGCGGCUCGAUAAGUCUGCUGUGAAAGUCAAAGGCUCAACCUUUGAAAGCCGAUGGAUACUGCAGGGCUAGAGUCCGGAAGAGGCGAGUGGAAUUCCUGGUGUAGCGGUGGAAUGCGCAGAUAUCAGGAGGAACACCAAUAGCGAAGGCAGCUCGCUGGGACGGUACUGACGCUAAGGCGCGAAAGCGUGGGGAGCGAACAGG